ensembl:lncRNA
GUGGAAGGAAGCACCUAGUGUGGGACAUUAGGAAGAGUCUACUCGCCUUGUCAGGAGAAGAGCUCUACCAACUUACCAAGACCGUGGGUCCAGUGUCGGGCAAAGAACAGUCCGAGCUUGUGGAGGGAGACCAGGAGGGAUGUUUCGAAUAUAUCAACGCGUUUAUAUGCAUCACUCGAUUUUUAGGGAUGAUUCAAAGCCAGAAGUCAAAUGCUGCACAACUUGCUGCACACUUUUCCACUGCCCCCUAUGCCCAACUUUUAAACCAACCGUAAACACGAAGCUUCAGUGCCACCUGGAAUCCCACAUAAAACAUUCCAUUACAUUUAAAGGUGAUAUAUGUAUGUGUGUAGAAAGAAUAUAAGAAUGUAUGUGUAUAUGUCUGUAGACAAUAUUUAUGAAUGUUUGUCUGGUUACUUUUAUAAGUCACUGACUUAUUUUCCUCUAUCUUUUGCCUGCAUUGAUCUUAGACACAAAGAUCAAUGAUAAUUUCCCUGAAUAUUCCAC